rnacentral:misc_RNA from 1 species
GAUGAAGAACGUAGCGAAAUGCGAUAAGUAGUGUGAAUUGCAGAAUUCAGUGAAUCAUCGAAUCUUUGAACGCACAUUGCGCCCCUUGGUAUUCCAUGGGGCAUGCCUGUUCGAGCGUCAUUUGUACCUUCAAGCUUUGCUUGGUGUUGGGUGUUUGUCUCGCCUCCGCGUGUAGACUCGCCUCAAAACAAUUGGCAGCCGGCGUAUUGAUUUCGGAGCGCAGUACAUCUCGCGCUUUGCACUCACAACGACGACGUCCAAAAGUACAUUUUUACACUCUUGACCUCGGAUCAGGUAGGGAUACCCGCUGAUCUUAAGCAUAUCAAUAAGCGGAGGA